ensembl:lncRNA
CCAGUCCGCCUCCCAAUGCUGAGAAAUGUGCUGUGCUCAGCAUUUCUGUGCUGAUGCCGCCGCAUCCAUGGUCGAAAAGGCGGGCGGCUGCAGCAGCCACAGCAGCAGUUGCUCUAGGGGUUAGAAAUCAGAUCGCAGCAUUUCUACCUCAUUUGGCAGCAGAAGUCCCGGGUCACAAGGAAGAUGAGGUUCUAGUCCAGAAGCUGCUGGGCUUUGUCACUCUGAAGGUGUCAUCAAAGAAGAAAAGCCGGAGUAGGGGAAGCAGAUG